UGGGGAAUUUUGGACAAUGGGCGCAAGCCUGAUCCAGCAAUGCCGCGUGCAGGAUGAAGGCCUUCGGGUUGUAAACUGCUUUUGUACGGAACGAAACGGCUCUUUCUAAUACAGAGACUUAAUGACGGUACCUGAAGAAUAAGCACCGGCUAACUACGUGCCAGCAGCCGCGGUAAUACGGAGGGUGCAAGCGUUAAUCGGAAUUACUGGGCGUAAAGCGUGCGCAGGCGGUUAUGCAAGACAGAGGUGAAAUCCCCGGGCUCAACCUGGGAACUGCCUUUGUGACUGCAUAGCUAGAGUACGGUAGAGGGAGAUGGAAUUCCGCGUGUAGCAGUGAAAUGCGUAGAUAUGCGAAGGAACACCGAUGGCGAAGGCAAUCCCCUGGGCCUGUACUGACGCUCAUGCACGAAAGCGUGGGGAGCAAACA
rnacentral:rRNA from 1 species